rnacentral:rRNA from 1 species
UACGUAGGUGGCAAGCGUUGUCCGGAUUUACUGGGCGUAAAGAGCUCGUAGGCGGCCUGUUGCGUCCGCUGUGAAAGCCCGGGGCUUAACCCCGGGUCGGCAGUGGAUACGGGCAGGCUAGAGGUAGGUAGGGGAGAAUGGAAUUCCCGGUGUAGCAGUGAAAUGCGUAGAUAUCAGGAGGAAUACCGAUGGCGAAGGCAGGUCUCUGGGUCGAUACUGACGCUCAUGCACGAAAGCGUGGGGAGCAAACAGG